AAACUAACAAGGAUUCCCCUAGUAACGGCGAGUGAACCGGGAAGAGCUCAAAUUUGAAAUCUGGCGUCCUCAGGGCGUCCGAGUUGUAAUCUAUAGAGGCGUUUUCCGCGCCGGACCGUGUAUAAGUCUCCUGGAACGGAGUAUCAAAGAGGGUGACAAUCCCGUGCUUUACACGACGACCGGUGCUAUGUGAUACGUCUUUUAAGAGUCGAGUUGUUUGGGAAUGCAGCUCAAAAUGGGUGGUAAACUCCAUCUAAAGCUAAAUAUUGGUGGGAGACCGAUAGCGAACAAGUACCGUGAGGGAAAGAUGAAAAGCACUUUGGAAAGAGAGUUAAACAGUAUGUGAAAUUGUUGAAAGGGAAACGAUUGAAGUCAGUCGUGUCCAUUGGGUUCAGCCGGUCCUGCCGGUCUACUCCCUUUGGACGGGUCAACAUCAGUUCUGACCGGUGGAUAAUGGCGUGAGGAACGUGGCACCCCUCGGGGUGUGUUAUAGCCUCGCGUCGCAUACGCUGGUCGGGACUGAGGAACGCAGCUCGCCUUUAUGGCCGGGGUUCGCCCACGUCCGAGCUUAGGAUGUUGACAUAAUGGCUUUAAACGAC
rnacentral:rRNA from 1 species